UUUAUUUUUGUUUUGUUCCUUUUUUUAUUAUUUGAUCAGGGUUCUCUCCCCCUCUUCUCUCUCACUUUACCACUCAUUUAUUUAAAUUUAGUUUAAACAGUGUUUGAAUUCAAAUUUAAAGUUAAUUUCUGUAUUCUAGCCAUUUUUGUUCACCUAUAGGUAACACUCCCUCUAGUGCUUAGUUGGUGAAGUGACAGUUGCCUCCACGGCGGAUCGCAGUGAGCUGCCACGGGAUCCAGACUGAAUCACCUCAAUCCAUCACUAAGCCUAGCCA